CCCUCUCCCAGGGCUGAUUUCAAGCCCUUCAGGGCAGGAGCGGGUGAUCACCCUGCUACACUCAUACAAUAAAAGCAAGUUAUAAAAUGAUGUUCUUCAGCAAGAUAUUUUCAAGGAUUGGGGAUUUGGAGAUGUCUCUUACCCUUGCUUGUCCAAGGUAGUCUUCAUCCACAGGACUUUACUACACCUUUAACCAUACAUUAAUUUUGGUGCCAGAAUCCAAAGAAGCCCAAAGACACAAACAACCUUGAUGCUAACCCAUGCUGGUCAUGAUGGAAAGAAAAUCCACCCAAGUGACUAAUCUAUAAACAUAAAGGCUACAUUUGAGUACUAUUGUCUUAUGUUAAAUAGCAGUGUCCUGAAAUAUCUGUUUUAAGAAUGUACACAUCUUUUUUUAAUAAUAAACUUUAAUUUUUCUCUCU